GAUGAACGCUGGCGGCGUGCCUAAUACAUGCAAGUCGAGCGAACAGACGAGGAGCUUGCUCCUCUGACGUUAGCGGCGGACGGGUGAGUAACACGUGGAUAACCUACCUAUAAGACUGGGAUAACUUCGGGAAACCGGAGCUAAUACCGGAUAAUAUAUUGAACCGCAUGGUUCAAUAGUGAAAGACGGUUUUGCUGUCACUUAUAGAUGGAUCCGCGCCGCAUUAGCUAGUUGGUAAGGUAACGGCUUACCAAGGCAACGAUGCGUAGCCGACCUGAGAGGGGGAGAGGGAAAAGUGGAAAGGAGACAAGGGAGAGAGGCAGACGGGAGGAAGAAGGAGGGAUGUGUAAGAAAGGGGCGAAAGAUGUACGGAGAAAAGAAGAGGGAGGAAUGAAGGUAUUAGGAGCGGAAAACGUGGGGAGGAGGGAAGAAAAAAUGUGUAAGUAAAAAUGCACGUCAGGAAGGUAAAUAAUAAGAAAGAGACGGAGAAACACGGG
rnacentral:rRNA from 1 species